GACGUAGGUGGCGAACGUUAUCCGGAAUUAUUGGGCGUAAAGGGUGCGUAGGUGGUCUGACAAGUUAGCAGUGGCAAAUCGAGGCUCAACCUCGUGGAAACUGGUAAUACUGUCUGACUCGAGUACAGGAGAGGUUAACGGAACUCCAUGUGGAGCGGUAAAAUGUGUAGAUAUAUGGAAGAACACCAAUAACGGCGAAGGCAGUUAACUAUUCUGUUACUGACAUUGAGGCACGAAAGCGUGGGGAGCAAAACGG
rnacentral:rRNA from 1 species